UACGUAGGUGACAAGCGUUGUCCGGAUUUACUGGGCGUAAAGAGCGCGCAGGCGGUCGAUCAAGUCGAGUGUGAAAGCCCCCGGCUCAACUGGGGAGGGUCAUUCGAUACUGAUCGACUCGAAGGCAGGAGAGGGUAGCGGAAUUCCCGGUGUAGUGGUGAAAUGCGUAGAUAUCGGGAGGAACACCAGUGGCGAAGGCGACUACCUGGCCUGUUCUUGACGCUGAGGCGCGAAAGCUAGGGGAGCAAACGGG
rnacentral:rRNA from 1 species